CCUGUUGUUUGACCAACAGUAGCCUAGGGAUAGUGCGGGACUGGUAACGGUCUGGUGCGGAGCUUCCUGACAAUGUACCCCUUCGUAAGAAGUUGAUAGUACCCGUGAGGGUAGGAUUAGGAGACUGCCAGCAACAAGGUGGUUGAGGG
rnacentral:ncRNA from 1 species